AGAACGUAGAACCAUUAGGGGCAGGCUCUCCUGCCCUCUCGAUUAACAAGAAGCACGGACAGACUAUACGUUGAAGGGUCGUUCCCCAUUCAGCGCGAACAUUUAGCUUCUUAUUAAUCUUCGAGGGUAGCGCUGCUACCCUUUUUUUUCAGAGGU
rnacentral:sRNA from 1 species